GGAUGUGAUGGCAAUCUGGCUGCAACAUCUGUCACCCCACUGAUGGCCAGGAUUGAUUUAACUGAUCUGGCUGGCUAGGCGGGUGUCCCCUUCCCCUUUCACUGCUCCAUCUGAGUCCCUCUUAAAGCUUUGCAGCUAGAGACUGACCAGUCUUUGGUGGAGAGCAUACAAGUAACUAUACUCCCCUGCUAGAACCUCCAAACAAGCUCUCAAGAUGACAUGGAUAAUAUUCAACUUCACAUGUUGUUGUCAGACUUAAUUAAUU
rnacentral:snRNA from 1 species